GUGGGGAAUAUUGGGCAAUGGGCGCAAGCCUGACCCAGCAACGCCGCGUGAAGGAAGAAGGCUUUCGGGUUGUAAACUUCUUUUGUCAGGGACGAAGCAAGUGACGGUACCUGACGAAUAAGCCACGGCUAACUACGUGCCAGCAGCCGCGGUAAUACGUAGGUGGCAAGCGUUAUCCGGAUUUACUGGGUGUAAAGGGCGUGUAGGCGGGAAAGCAAGUCAGAUGUGAAAACUGUGGGCUCAACCCAUAGCUUGCAUUUGAAACUGUUUUUCUUGAGUACUGGAGAGGCAGAUGGAAUUCCUAGUGUAGCGGUGAAAUGCGUAGAUAUUAGGAGGAACACCAGUGGCGAAGGCGAUCUGCUGGACAGCAACUGACGCUGAGGCGCGAAAGCGUGGGGAGCAAACAGGAUUAGAAACCCCUGUAGUCC
rnacentral:rRNA from 1 species